rnacentral:rRNA from 1 species
UACGAAGGGGGCUAGCGUUGCUCGGAAUCACUGGGCGUAAAGGGUGCGUAGGCGGGUCUUUAAGUCAGGGGUGAAAUCCUGGAGCUCAACUCCAGAACUGCCUUUGAUACUGAAGAUCUUGAGUUCGGGAGAGGUGAGUGGAAUUGCGAGUGUAGAGGUGAAAUUCGUAGAUAUUCGCAGGAACACCAGUGGCGAAGGCGGCUCACUGGUCCGAUACUGACGCUGAGGUGCGAAAGCGUGGGGAGCAAACAGG